rnacentral:rRNA from 1 species
GUCCACACCGUAAACGUUGGGCGCUAGGUGUGGGAUCCAUUCCACGGGUUCCGUGCCGCAGCUAACGCAUUAAGCGCCCCGCCUGGGGAGUACUGCCGCAAGGCUAAAACUCAAAGGAAUUGACGGGGGCCCCGCACAAGCGGCGGAGCAUGCGGAUUAAUUCGAUGCAACGCGAAGAACCUUACCUGGGUUUGACAUACGCCGGAAAGCUCUAGAGAUAGAGCCCCUUUUAGUCGGUGUACAGGUGGUGCAUGGCUGUCGU